rnacentral:lncRNA from 1 species
AUGUCCUGCUGUACCCUGGGGGAGCCUGUGUGUCCGUCUCUCCUGUCCCUGGGUCAUGUGUGUGACCCUGGCUGCCCCACCCCCUAUACACACCUCCUGUGGGCUGUGGGUGACACAAUCAUUUGUUCCCCAGAGCCAUGUUCCCGCUUAUCUCUCCCUCACCCAUUGACGACACCUCCUUCUUGGAAAUUGGGUUUGCUGUUCUGUUCUCCCAAGCAAGGUAAGACCCCGCGGAUGCCUGGGCUCCCAGAGCGCCGGGACGUAUCUCUGAGGGAAGUGGGGCGCCCAGAGGCGUGGACAGGACGGCCUAGGAGAGAAGAAAGGGGGCUGACACAAGACCUCGUGGAGACUCCCUUCCAGGAAGCGGCUCCAGCGGCUCACAAUGGCUUGACGCCCCUGCUUCAGAGGACAAAGAGGUUCAACUCUCACUUUCCCAUCUGCUCCUUCUGCUGUAAUUGCUGUCACAACACAAACUGUGGCAUCUGCUGCCGGGUAUGACCUGAGCCCAUCAUCUCCUCUCAGGCUCCCCUGCCCCCUUCGCUGUCUAAUUUAUUCCCUCCCCUCGCCCCUUCCUGUGGUGAUUGUCUCUAAAUAAAACGGAACGCUUUCUCUGGAAAUCUCCA